GCAGAAGCAAUAUUGUGCGCUGGUGUGGAUUUCUCGCCCACUUGAAGAUCAAGACUUGCAGUCAAUUGCUUCCCUCAAGGACUUGCAAAUUUUGCAGAAAACCCCAAUUAGGGUGCUUCACCGUCGGAGUCCAUUAGAACGUGAAAAGAUUAUACAUUGGAUGAAAAUAGAAACAAUUGCUGAGAGCUCUCAAUAUUUUCUUUUGCAUCUAUGUACCCAGGCUGGGACAUAUAUCAAAGAAUUUGUACAUGGGGAUCUAGGGCGUACAUGUCCAAGCAUUGGAUCAAUUCUAGGAUGCAGAGCAGAGAUCCUCCAACUCGAUGUUACUGAUGUGAAAAUGGACUGUUUCCUGGUCGAAUGAGUUGGUUGCCAUUAUAUUGAGACUGGUUUUGCCUGUCGAACUAGUCCUUUGACUACUUUCCAUCUGCUAUUUUUGAGGUUUGAAGAUGUUUUUGCGUUCAAUAUUAGGGGCAAUUUUUUUAUUAUGUUCACGAAACCAUUAAGGAAUCCAUGUCUGCUACUUUUUCCAUCCC
rnacentral:misc_RNA from 1 species